UCUACACAUGAUCGAAGGAGAGAACUCUCUCUCUCUAGACUAGGGUUCAAGAUCUAAGGAAGAAGAAGAAUGAGGAUUUCUUCAAUACAUAUGGAUCACUAACACACUUGUAUGAGGGCUUGUUUAGGACGUAUUGGGAGAAGAUUUUCAUGUCUUUGGUUGCUAUACAUGAUCUUGGAAAGACCUUUUCACACUUUUAAAGUUUCUUUGAUUGUUCUUGAAACUUUGGGUUAUGUCAAUGGUGGUUUUGUUUAGAAAGCAUGAUAGGUUAGAAUAAUUGGUUUUAUAUGCAUGUUAGUGACUAUGAUAUUAUUUAACAAUGGUUGGAAACAUGUUAGGAAUGAAUUAAUGAUGAUAUAAGGUUUGAUUUUGUGAUAUAUGUUCAUAGAUUGAGAAAGAAGAAGAUUUUAUUGCAUAAGAUUUGUUAAGGUUAUGGAGUUAGGGGCUGCUUACAAAUUUUUGGUAUUUUAUUUAUCUCUAAGAUUUGUAUGAUUUUAUAGAGGGAUUCAAGACAGGAAAAACCAAAAAAGAAUUGUCUAAAUCAGAUUAAAAUUGAGGAAGUUAUGGCAAAACAAAAUUGGUCGCUACAGUCACAACAAUAGCUGGGACAUGCCGCCUCCACAUGGUAGGCGUCAUGUCACCUCACCUCUAUUUUGGAGGACUCGACAAGGCACUUGAAGCGAGGUGAUUGCGUCGCUGCUAGACUUGAGGUCUUGAUCAUAAGGAACGUGGCACGUUCGUCGGGGUAGUUAUUAAGGAUCAUAUGGUAGUCUUUGUGCAACGAAACAUACUCAAUCAAGCCCUGUUUUGGAGGCGGAACUUCAAGCGAUGUCCAUAGGUUUGUGAUUGGCUUCUUUGUGUGGUUUUUCACAUAUUCAGCUUUAUUCAGACUUGUUACUAGCAGUGCAAGCAGUCACUGAUCCAGAGGAUCAGUAUAGUCCUAUGGGCUAUGAAGUUUUAGAUGUUGAGGAGUAUCUCCAAAAGCCCUCUAAUUUUACUUUGAAUCAUAUGUAUAGGACAACUGCCCAUCAUUUGGUGUCUUUAAUUUUUCUUCCCUGAAUGCUUUUGUUUGGCAUGAUGGCUUUUUUUUCCUUUGUGGUUAAAAA